CACAAACCGUCAGUACCAACCCGUACUCCACUCCAUCAUAGGUGGAACACAAACCGUCACUACAAACCCGUACUCCACUUCAUCAUAGGUGCACAAACCGUCAGUACCAACUCGUACUCCACUCCAUCAUAGGUGGUCACAAACCGUCAGUACCAACCCGUACUCCACUCCAUCAUAGGUGGAACACAAACCGUCAGUACCAACCCGUACUCCACUCCAUCAUAGGUGGUCACAAACCGUCACUACCAACCCGUACUCCACUCCAUCAUAGGUGGUUACAAACCGUCACUACCAACCCGUACUCUACUCCAUCAUAGGUGGUCACAAACCGUCACUACCAACCCGUACUCCACUCCAUCAUAGGUGGAACACAAACCGUCACUACCAACCCGUACUCCACUCCAUCAUAGGUGGUCACAAACCGUCACCACCAACCCGUACUCCACUCCAUCAUAGGUGGAACACAAACCGUCACCACCAACCCGUACUCUACACCAUCAUAGGUGGAACACAAACCGUCACUACCAACCCGUACUCCACUCCAUCAUAGGUGGAACACAAACCGUUACCACCAACCCGUACUCCACUCCAUCAUAGGUGGUCACAAACCGUCACCACCAACCCGUACUCCACUCCAUCAUAGGUGGAACACAAACCGUCACCACCAACCCGUACUCCACUCCAUCAUAGGUGGA